ensembl:lncRNA
GCUUUAUUUCCUGUGAUUUUACAUGUAUUCUUUUUAUCCAUAAAAUAUGUGCAGACUUUCUCCAGCCCAUUGUUGUUGUUUUCCUACAUUAAAAUCACCAUUGCCUGUUUUUAAUAUUAACUGUGUUCCUCCGGUCCGCCAGGGGGCGCUGCGGCCUUCAGACGCGCCGCCGCAGCUUCGUUAUGAUUCCUGGAAGAAAAUAGACAUUUUCGAGGUAACUGAGCGGCUCACUGGCCGAAACGAGCCUCCAGCAUCUACUAAACCCUCAUUACUGCCCCUGUUUCUACAUUAAUGUGCGCAUUUCGGCUCCUCGCUCCUGCCGUUAAAUAGCCAGCUGGUGCGAAGCGGCGAAAAUAUCCGCGGCCGGAACUUACAGUCGCUUCUGUUUAGCACGUUAGCUGCUGCAGCUAAGCUAAGCUAAAGUUAGCCUUGGCGGUGUUUGCGGCUGAUGGCUGACUUCGGCAGCAGGAUCCUGACAUCUUCUGAACAUCUUCGAGGUGGAGCUGCAGGAAAAGCGUCGUCGUCCUCGGUCAUGGCCGGAAACGGAAACUGGGAGGCUGCCGGCAGCAUGGACCAGAUCACCGUGGUGAGGAUCGACGACACGCACAUCGCAGGGGAGCAGUCGCACAUGGGCGGGAAGGCGAGGAGCAACGUGACCGAGUACUACGAGAUGGAGUAUUCGCUGCCCGCCGAGGAGGAGGUGGUAGAGGAGGAGGAGGAGGGCGUCUACGUCAUCGAGUACUCCAACCCCGAAGAGGAGGGAGAGAGCUACCAGUUCACCGUGUCCGUCGACCGCUCGCUUCCCGCCAAGAAGCCGGUUGUGAAGCGGCCGGUGGUCCGAGAGAGGAGCGCAGAUCCGCCACCGUCCAGACUGAUGAGGCCGAGGCUAGAGCAGAAGAGGAAGCUGGAGGAGGCGAGGAGGGAGGAGCUGGUAAGCAACAAGAGCGUCCUGGAGCUGGGUGAGGACUACAGCGAUGUCAUGAACUCGGGGCAGAGGCAGCUGGUGUGCACCAUGUGUCCGCCGCCCGGCAAGACCUUCAAGAGGGCGUCGGGCCUCGCCGUGCACCUGAAGCAGACGCACCACAUGGAGGGCAAGAAGACGUUCUUCUGCACGUCCUGCCAGCAGUCGGUCCGCACGCAGGUGGAGCUGGACGCCCACACCCGUCGCCACGCCAACCAGGACGCCGUCUUCACUUGCCACGUGUGCCCGGCCGGCGGUCUGGAGGCGUUCAGUGGCUCCAGGUGGGGUCUGAGGAAGCACCUGGAGAAGGAGCACCCGGGCGUCGUCCCGCGCUGCCACGUCUGCAGCAAGGGCUUCAAGACGCUGGCAUCGUACCUCGCAGACCAGUUCCGGCACGUCGGGGUGUCGCCAUACUACUGCGCCAAGUGUCAGAUCUACGAAAUGACUGAGAGGGGGUUGAGCGUGCAUGUCAAGAACCACAACAAGAAGAAGAAGAGGGAGCAGCAGCAGCAGCAGCAGCAGGAUGGACACGAGCCGCCGCCAGAGCCAACAGGAAUCCUCGCCGCCGAUAACUCGGCCACAGACGACUCCGACUUCUGACCACAUUCCUGCUGGUCGAGACUGAAGCAGCUCAAGAGACUCGUCUGACUUUAUGCAUCUGAACUGAAUGUCGGACAGAAAUAAACGUUUGUCACCGUUAGAUUGUUGUUGUUUUUUUUUUUUUGUUUUUUUUUUAAACAAUCAUCCCUUUUAUUUGGGAGUUUUCCAUCAUAAUCUGGUUGCAGAACAGAGAAUGUGAAGGUGCAUCAUGCUGGGUUAUUAUGUUUUAUUUUACAUUUUUACUCACUGUAGGUUAAUUUUUCUCUGCAGCAUAAAAUCCUGAACCUCUGUGGAAACAGAACAACCACCACUAGAAGUAGAGAGAACUUAAAUAUGGCUUAUGAGUGUUACGGCAGAAUUAAAAUGUCAUGCAUUAUAAAAAAUAGGGAAAAAAGUUGAUGACUAAUUUCACAAUAAACAAGAAAAUUUGGAGUCUGUUUGUCCAAUACUUUAUUGGAAUCAAUCAUGAAUUGUAAAAAACUAAAGUUACAUUUCUUUCAUAGUUUAAGAAAAAUGUAAAAAACUGAAAACAAGGUCAACACUUAACAAAAAUAUUAGCAGUAGAGGAAAAAUGGUGACUCUACGUAUGAUAGAUGUUUGUUUUUUUAUUUAAAAAAAUGGUUUUCAUUCAUUUUUUUGCUCUAUACAGCCUGCAGUUCAGUUUAGGAGUGCAGAAUUUUUGGUUUAACCCUCCUGUCAUCUUCAUUUACGGGCACCAAAAAAUAUUGUUUCCUUCUCUGAAAACAAAAUCCAAAAAUUCAGCAAAAAAAUUCCCCGAAUUUCUGAAAACUUGCAAAACCUUCAGGAAGAAAAUUCUAAUAAUUCCUUAAAAGUUUCCCUUCAAACUUUUAUUUAAAAAAAAAAAAAAAAAAAUCCCCAAAUUUGGCAACAAAAUUCUUGUAAAUAUUUUCCAAAAAAUUAGUAAAAAUCCUCAAAAAAAAUCCUAAAAAUAUCUAAAGUGAUUCCACAUAUAUCAGUAAAACUUCUAAUAUUUUCUUAAGAACAUUCACAAAAAAAU